rnacentral:tRNA from 1 species
UGCCGGAUAGCUCAGUUGGUAGAGCAACUGCUUGAUAAGCGGUAGGUCGCAGGUUCAAGCCCUGCUCCGGCAACCA